ACUGACGAGUCCCAAACAGGACGAAACAGUUGUCC
rnacentral:hammerhead_ribozyme from 1 species